rnacentral:rRNA from 1 species
ACUCAAAUGAAUUGACGGGGGACCGCACAAGCGGUGGAGCAUAUGGCUUAAUUCGAUGCAACGCGAAGAACCUUACCAGGGCUUGACAUGCACCUGCAAGCUGCCGAAAAGCAGUCGCUUUCGAAGGUGGUGCACAGGUGGUGCAUGGCUGUCGUCAGCUCGUGUUGUGAAAUGUUGGGUUAAGUCCCGCAACGAGCGCAACCCUCAUGUUUUGUUACCAGCGGAUAAUGCCGGGGACUCGAAACAAACUGCCUCUGUAAAGAGGAGGAAGGCGGGGAUGACGUCAAGUCAGCAUGCCCCUUACGCCCUGGGCUGCACAUAUGCUACAAUGGCCGGCACAAAGGGUUGCCAACUCGCGAGAGUGCGCUAAUCCCAAAAAACCGGUCUCAGUUCGGAUCGAAGUCUGCAACUCGACUUCGUGAAGUCGGAAUCGCUAGUAACCGCCGGUCAGCAAUACGGCGGUGAAUACGUUCCCGGUCCUUGCACACACCGCCCGU